rnacentral:rRNA from 1 species
GAUGAACGCUGGCGGCGUGCCUAAUACAUGCAAGUCGAGCGAACGGACGAGAAGCUUGCUUCUCUGAUGUUAGCGGCGGACGGGUGAGUAACACGUGGAUAACCUACCUAUAAGACUGGGAUAACUUCGGGAAACCGUAGCUAAUACCGGAUAAUAUUUUGAACCGCAUGGUUCAAAAGUGAAAGACGGUCUUGCUGUCACUUAUAGAUGGAUCCGCGCUGCAUUAGCUAGUUGGUAAGGUAACGGCUUACCAAGGCAACGAUGCGUAGCCGACCUGAGAGGGUGAUCGGCCACACUGGUACUGAGACACGGUCCAGACUCCUACGGGAGGCAGCAGUAGGGAAUCUUCCGCAAUGGGCGAAAGCCUGACGGAGCAACGCCGCGUGAGUGAUGAAGGUCUUCGGAUCGUAAAACUCUGUUAUUAGGGAAGAACAUAUGUGUAAGUAACUGUGCACAUCUUGACGGUACCUAAUCAGAAAGCCACGGCUAACUACGUG